GAAGUUCAAUAGAAACAGUUCUGCUUGCCUACGACUAUAGUUAUAGUCACUUGUUGGGCUGAUUUCAAGCAGACUGCUUAGUGUUGACCGUGUCAUGCUAUUGUUAUUGACCUGCUGCUUGUGUCUUAAAUAAAUAUAUGCGAAGGUAGACACGAUCUUUGCUGCUUCUGUCUUAAAUAAAUAAAUAAAAUUCUAUAAUGAUGAUCUGAAAUGUCACACAGGUGAACAUUGGUGCUGCUGCCGCCGCUGUGCCAGUUGGAGGUGCUGCUGCUGCAUGUGGUGGAGCUGUAGCUGCAACCCCAAAGGGCAAACCUUCAUCAGGCACAACCCCAUAACAGGGCCUCAAGGUUCUAUUCCCCAUCGCCCCUCUUUCUAAAUUACUGGAAUGAAAAUGGCCAGGCCUGAUGUGCCUCCUGUAUCUAUUGCUCGAUUUGUUAUGAUUUGAUUCACCAAGAGUGAUUCUUCUACUAUCUUGUAGUAAGAUUAAAUGGAACAACGAGGGAUGUUUCUAAGUUGGUUAUUGCUAGAAUAAUUCAUCAACUUGAGAUAUGCUAGGAUGUUCUGCCUUUCCUUACUGAAGAAGAUAAGAAUGGAAUUUAAUUGGAUGGUCCCUUUCAUCGUGCUUAAUUAGCUGUAAAUGUGCCCCCUUACUGAAGAAGAUAUGAAUCCAUAGGUGUUAUGCAAAAUUAAAUCUGUCAUCUUGUAUGUGCUCUAGGCAGUGUCGAGAGGGUGAAAAAUAUGAGAACAAAAAAGAAUUACUUGAUUAAUUUACAACAUCCAUCCUUUACUCCGUCCGUGUCAUCGUUGUUUACCCCUGUGAGUAUUUUUAACUUGAAAAUCUCUAGUGAACUGCCAUUUGCAGUACAUUUGCUUUCCAUGUUAAUUUUUUGGGUUACUCCAUCUUGCUCUAUUAAGUAAAAUUUGAUAUGUGGAGUAGCAGCAGUAAGCUAGACCAUCCGUCAAUAGACUGCACCACGGAGGUCACCCUCAUAUGGAUAAUGAAUCAUUAUCCCGUUCUUGUAUACCUGAGAUGUUCCUAAUGAAUAAUUUACUAGACAAACAAUCUUGUUUGCCGUAAGAAUUCUGGCAUGCCAAAAUCUGUCGUCUAUGUAUGCUUCGGUUAAUAUGGACCUGAAUGGCAAGGGCUAGCCAACCUACUUAGCUAGAUUAACAUAACAGGAACAGUACACAACCGGCUAGCUCAUGUUUGCAUUGGCUGCCACAUCGGCUAGCUAGAUGCGACUGCUUAAGGGCUAGUCAACAAAUUUUACAGCAUUCUAUGUUGUAGCCAAACACUUGCUCUGUAUUUUAUAUUAAAACCAUGGUAUUGUGUACCUGCCAACUACGAGUAAAUUACUGCAGUUUUUAAUACUUUGGUUUUUUGAUACUUUGCUGUUCGAUUUACUUUUAUUUUGUCCCUAAACAUUUUGUUCUACAAUGUGCAGAUGCUGGCAUUUCAUUCAGGACAAAGAAGUUGGAUGAAGCAUAGUUUUACCUCAUUGAGCUAGUUCUGGGAGUAAUGAACUCCUUGUAGCAGAACUUGUAUGUGUGUUAUAUGAUGUAGCAGAACUUGUAGGGCUCCUAUGAUAGACUUGGGCUGAUACACUUGUGCUGUAUGUGUGUUAUCUAAUUGUAAACUUGAUGCUGAUCACAUUUUUAUGUAUGUUAUAUGAUGUAGCAGAUUGCUUCCUGCUGUUAUUUGAAAUAUUGUGUCUGUUUUUUGUAUUUGCAUAUUGAAAUAUGAAAGAACAUGACCUUGACAGUAGGGUCCCACAAACUAGAAUGUCGCAUUUGGGACCCACUUACCAGAAUUUGACAAUUGGCAUGCAUUAAAAAAAAAGAAACAAAGGCUACCGCCCAAAAAUAAAAAGGCUAUAAUGUUGGGCUAGGCCCAUGAAAUUGACCAAAAAUUGACACGAAAAAAAUAUAAAUGGGCUGAAUUAAUGGGCUUGGCCCAUAUAAACACCGAAUUGGACCGGGCUGAAUCUUG
rnacentral:lncRNA from 1 species